AUGUACAUAAACCAAUUUAAUCCUUUGCUUAAAUCAGUUUACAGUGAUUUAUCAAUGCAAGCUGAAAACAGUGCAUGUAAGGAUUACACUGGUUUAAAUGUCUACAUUAGAGGCCAAGUGAUCAGACUGCUACCACGCAGACAGCAAGUAGCAAAGCUGGGAGCCAGCCAAGACUACACUAGCCUGAAGACCAGCCUUUGUUUGCAGGAUGGCUUCAGCUCCCCACAACACCUCUCACAUGCCCAUGAGAGAGCUAGCACUGCAACCCAGGCACCAUUAUGCACCUUCUGAAAUAUAAAGUGUCUGUCUUCUGGACAGGGCUAUUCAUUUACUGUGACUUCAACUGUUAGCUAACACUUGUCAUGUCUUUAAAAAGCAGCAUUUUGUUAGCAUAAAUACCAUUUAUGACUCUUCCUUCAUCUUCUCAUUCCUUCUUGUCUGAUUGCCCUAUGGAAAAUGAAGCAACAAAAGCUGCUUUUCAGUGCCUACUGUUUAAUAUCCUUUAUUUAUGUCUCAGUCAGAUUAAUAAGAUUUAUGCAGGAGAGGACACAAAUCUGGCUAAGCUCAUUUGGUAGUCAAGUUUUAAAGCUUUUUCUGAAUUAAUGAUAGCCUUGUGUUCAGAUCCCUUUCCACAGACCCACUUCCCUUUAAUUUCCUUCCUAACUCAUAGGCUUUCCACAUCCAUUGCCCCUCUGCUGUGUUCCCAGACUGGCUUCCACUCAAAGCACUGAAUUUCUCCAGGCAGCCAAACAAUGUCCAUGAGCUUUGCUGGAGCACCACUGCACUAAAACCUGGCCAGGAAUCCUGAGCACACCAAUGUGGUAGAAAACUCUAAAAGUGCAGAGAGGCUGUUCUCACUGCCCUGGAAAGCAGAGCCCACAAAAAGAGGCUGCUGUUUUCCCAAGUAAUCCUAUUAGUAGCAGUUACCAUAAGUGGAAUAUAAAAUAAGCGUGCAAUAAGUCUCAUGUAAAUCUUAGAUGGCUAUUUGAGGACGCAGCUAGAGGGUUGACUAAAAGCAUGAGAAUACUUUUCUCCUUGGUAGCAGACAGGUUACGAUUUGUGUAAGAAACAAAUCAACACAUGCAAAGUUUAAGUGCACAGUGGAUACAAACCAGCUCUCAGACUGGGCUUGUAAAUCAUUUUUGAUGUGUUCUUGGACACAUUGUACAUCUCCAUCACUUUAUCAUCGCUGUGAUGGAUUUGACCCUGCAGACUUGGAAUCAGAAACCUUUACUGAGCCUCCAGAACAUUUUCACUAGGACUUCUUGAUGACAGUUUUCUGGGAGACUCG
ensembl:lncRNA